rnacentral:rRNA from 2 species
UUCCCAUGCCGAACACAGAAGUUAAGCUCCUUAGCGCCGAUGGUAGUCGGACUUACGUUCCGCAAGAGUAGGACGUUGCCAGGC